rnacentral:rRNA from 1 species
UACAGAGGUCCCGAGCGUUGUUCGGAUUCACUGGGCGUAAAGGGUGCGUAGGCGGCUGGGUAAGUCUGAUGUGAAAUCCCGCAGCUUAACUGCGGAACUGCAUCGGAUACUAUCCAGCUAGAGGAGUGGAGGGGAGACUGGAAUUCUCGGUGUAGCAGUGAAAUGCGUAGAUAUCGAGAGGAACACCAGUGGCGAAGGCGAGUCUCUGGACACCUCCUGACGCUGAGGCACGAAAGCCAGGGGAGCAAACGGG